rnacentral:lncRNA from 1 species
AGACAUGUAUGUGUUGGCUGGAAAAGUGACUCUUGAAGGGCAAAAUGAUCCAGUUCUCUCAUCCCCUAGGCUUUGGGCCAGUAAUGAAGAAAAAAUGAACAACCUGCAAGAAGGAAGGUUUUCUUUCCUAGCUGUGUGCAGGCAGACCCUAAAAACAGAAGCAGAACUGUGGACCUGAUACGUGCAGCAGGUGAGGUCGUCAGGAGACAGAAUGACUCUUACUGAGCCCGUCUUGAAGACAGUCACUGCUGUAGAAGAGCACUGAAGCACAGUAGUUUGCGUAGCGCUGGAUUUCCAACUUUGCCUUCGUAUGGCAUAGAAAAAGUAAGGUCACUUGAUUGCCUUUGUUUCUUCUGUUUCUUCUCCUUGAAGAAACAGCCCUCCUCAGAGCCUGUAGGUCACACUGUCCAAACUGCCUCCAUCCUGGGAGGGGAAGGGCCGUAGGUCCAUGGUACAGAUGUGUACAGGCUUAUGUUGCUGCUGCAGAGCAGUGUGGGUUGCCUGCGCUAAAUGCAAUGGGAUUUACAUGUGAUGCUCAGGCAGUGGCAGUUUCACACGUGCUCCCCCUCGCACCUAAGCAAAGUGAGUCCUGCCUCGUGAACGAUGAACUGCCUUGCAUCUGGACUCAGUCCAAGCCUUUCACAUCCUCUGAGAACCUCCCAUGUGGUAUAUGCAACAGGUGGAAGGCCCUCAGCACGGAGAUUCAGGCUCCAGCACUCAACGGCCAGCUGGAAGAAGAGGGCUGGCAGCCCGUUUCCAUCUGGUUGCUGAUGCUGUGAGCCCUCUGUGUUCCUGCGGGGAGGACAUCCCCUUUUCCUCCUCUCCCAGAGCCCACAGCUCGCAGCAUUCCAAGAUUCUAAAGGCAGGUGGAACCA